GAUGAAGAACGUAGCGAAAUGCGAUAAGUAGUGUGAAUUGCGGAAUUCAGUGAAUCAUCGAAUCUUUGAACGCACAUUGCGCCCCUUGGUAUUCCAUGGGGCAUGCCUGUUCGAGCGUCAUUUGUACCCUCAAGCUCUGCUUGGUGUUGGGUGUUUGUCUCGCGGUUCUGCGCAGACUCGCCUUAAAACAAUUGGCAGCCGGCUUGUUAGCCUGGAGCGCAGCACAUAUUGCGCCUCUUGCUAGCGACUGCCCGGCACCCAUCAAGCCCAUUUAUUUGCUCUUGACCUCGGAUCAGGUAGGGAUACCCGCUGAACUUAAGCAUAUCAAUAAGCGGAGGA
rnacentral:misc_RNA from 1 species